CUCAAAGGCUACUAGCGCUGCCAGCGGGCAAACAGUUCAGACAUUUAAAAUAUGGGCCUGGGUUUUAAGUGUCCAUGGUCCAGAUUUUAUGCAUUUAUGCUGUGUGGCUGAAAUCCAGACAAACUUCUGUGUCAUUCAGAGUUAAAUCUUGUGAAGAAUGUCCUUAUUUUGCCGUCAGAAUAAACACAGUCAUAUAGUUUUGUCCCAUUUUGUAGAGGGCCAUUGAGACUUUAGUAAA